ensembl:snRNA U12 U12 minor spliceosomal RNA
AUGCCUUAAACUUAAUGAUUAAGGAAAAUAAUGAUUCAGGGUGAUGCCUGAAUCCUCACUGCUAAUGUGAGACGAAUUUUUGAGUGGGUAAAGGUCGCCCCUGAGGUGACCUGCCUACUUUGCAGGAUGCCUGGGAGCCAAGAUCUGCCUG